rnacentral:rRNA from 1 species
AUUGAACGCUGGCGGCAUGCUUUACACAUGCAAGUCGAACGGUAACAGGCCGCAAGGUGCUGACGAGUGGCGAACGGGUGAGUAAUGCAUCGGAACGUGCCCAGUCGUGGGGGAUAACGCAGCGAAAGCUGCGCUAAUACCGCAUACGAUCUAUGGAUGAAAGCGGGGGGCCGUAAGGCCUCGCGCGAUUGGAGCGGACGAUGUCAGAUUAGGUAGUUGGUGGGGUAAAGGCUCACCAAGCCAACGAUCUGUAGCUGGUCUGAGAGGACGACCAGCCACACUGGGACUGAGACACGGCCCAGACUCCUACGGGAGGCAGCAGUGGGGAAUUUUGGACAAUGGGCGCAAGCCUGAUCCAGCAAUGCCGCGUGCAGGAAGAAGGCCUUCGGGUUGUAAACUGCUUUUGUACGAAACGAAACGGUCCUGGUUAAUACCCGGGGCUAAUGACGGUACCGUAAGAAUAAGCACCGGCUAACUACGUGCCAGCAGCCGCAGUAA